AACCCGGAGGAAGGAGGGGAUGACGUCAAGUCCUCAUGGCCCUUAUGCCCAGGGCUACACACGUGCUACAAUGGGGGGUACAGAGGGAUGCGAACCCGCAAGGGGGAGCUAAUCCCAGAAAGCCCUCCUCAGUUCGGAUCGGGGUCUGCAACUCGACCCCGUGAAGCCGGAAUCGCUAGUAAUGGCGGAUCAGCAUGCCGCCGUGAAUACGUUCCCGGGCCUUGUACACACCGCCCGUCACACCACGGAAGCUGGUCCCACCCGAAGUCACUACCCUAACCCGGCUUUAGCUGGGAGGGGGGUGCCUACGGUGGGGCUGGUGACUGGGGUGAAGUCGUAACAAGGUACCCCUACCGGAAGGUGGGGGUGGAUCACCUCCUUUCUAAGGAG
rnacentral:rRNA from 1 species